AGAAAAAAGCAGAAGCAGCUCAAGAAAGGUUAGCCAAGCUUGGUUUCCCUCUUCCUGGAGGAAAGCCAUUGUACAAUCAGCCAUCGGACCUUCCUUGCUACCAUGAGAACUUGAGAAAAGCACCUGCAAUCAAAGCCAAGUUAGUGAAAUAUUUUCAGCUGAGGAAGCAUGCCAAAGAAAUUAAG